UUACAUGUCCAUUAUUAUUCUUAAAGUUUGAGGUUGGAUGAGAGUCUGUGAGCAGUGGUUAUUAUUUUAUUUUAAUCUAUUUGAGAAUCAUGAACGAAUGUCGAUUGUGCUCGUCUACGGUCGAUUUAAUCAACAUUUUCGAUUCUAAUUUAAAGAAUUCUCGUGAACUAAGGUGUUUUAUCAUUUUAGCUACGGGUAUUGAGAUUAGAGAAACGGAUGUCGUCUCCAAGUUGGUGUGUCGGCGAUGUUGUAUUCUGGCCAUUAAGAUUUAUAAAUACCGAACAAAGGCUGUCGCCAACGAUAAAGUACUAAAGGAGCAAUGUGGACAGCACUAUUCCCCUCCACCGUCUCCGCCCCUUUCUCCGUUUGACACUUGCAAAAAUAAAAGUAGUGGCGAUUCUAGUGAAAUCGGAAACACAAAUCAUCAUAAUGUGUCAUUUACUCAAAAUACUAAAUUUGGUCUCAUAAAAAAGCAUCCUUCUGUUGAAGAAUUAAUGAGCGUAUAUCCGAAUAUUAUUUUACCCUCUCGAAUAUUUCAGUCACAUAUAAACCCUGUUAUAACAAUUGACAAAAAUGAAGUAACCGAAUGGUUUCAAAAGCACCGUAAUCUACAGUACGAUUUACCACUUGUUGCCAUUAACGAAUGUUAUUCAAAAUUUAAGAACAUUACCAUACGCAAAGUGAUUUCCAAAACUGAAAAUUUUGAAAUUGCUAAUGAAGAUGACGCCUCUAAAAAUCAAUUGAAUAAUGUACCUUGUAAAAAUGCUGAAAAUGUCAAUAAAGAAGAUGCCAAGAGUAAAAGUUUCAGUUCCUGUAAUAUUGUAACAGAAUGUAGAGUUGUGUCGAAUAAUGUGGCCAGAAAAAGAACUUCAGGAAUACGAACGUACAAAAGGAAAAUGGAACGAAAGAAGAAUCCAUACGAGACAAAUGAUUCCGAUGCAGAAAUAAUGCCGACUGCCAAGAGGAAAACCCCAAUAAUGACGAAUGAAGUGCAAAAAGAGAUUUUCACUUCAUCUUUGGGUUUGACGCCAUCCGACAAACGCUUAAUUACUGAAGAAAUAGAUGCCGAUGUUAUUUAUAAAACGUCACCGAGUAAGUCGGUAAUGUUCGAAACUCUUAAAGAAGUGAAUUUAUUUGUUUGUAAUAUUUGCAAUCGUGUUUGCGAUACAAGAAAAGAACUUACUGAACAUCAGCGAAUUCAUUUACAUUGUAAAUUCUGUAAAACGAAAGUUAAAAGCAUCGACGCUCUUCUUGAACAUAAUAAUGAAACAUGUUUCGUCAAUUUAACGAAAAAUUUACCCAAUGUUGUGCUUCUUCGAGCCGAUAAAGACCCGAAAAUGAUUAAUAAGUAUAGAAAAGCGUUUGAAACUUUAAAAGAUGAACAAGAGGAAAGCGAUGAAUAUGAAAACUCCGAAAUAAUUCCCCUAAUUGAAGAAGUGAACGUACCAGUUGGCGGAGGCGAAUUUCUUGACGAAUUGCAAACAAAUGCCCAAAUUUUACCGUCAUAUACUAAUGAAAUACUCAUGCCCGAACCAGAUGAUAGAGUUGAUUUGAAAAAUCCCAUGCUUAGAAGUGUUCUUGCUAAUAAUUUAUCAAACGAAAAACAUAGUGAAGAUUCUAAAUUAGAACAAUACAUAGAAAGAUCGAUUGGUAGGGCGACGCAGAAGUCGAAAAGAAAAGUAUGCUCUACAUCUACGAUUAGUUGUUCUAAUGAAAACGUCGUGUGUAUUUCGGACGAAAGUGGCGACGAAACAACCACCAAUAAUAGUACAAAAAUUGCCGGUUCUAAAAUCAACGACUUGAUCGAAGAUGUUACUGUCGUACCACCUGUAGAGUCGGUCUCGAUAAUUCGUCCUGAGAUAAAAAUCGCCCAAAACACCAUAGUAUGUCCCCAAGCCACUCAGGCGAUGAACAGUAAAUCGUUAGCAUCAUUGGAAGAAUCAUUAAUUCAGGACCUGUUUAAAAAAUAUUCAAUAAGUAAAUCAACUAAUAGAACCACUCAAGUAUUUUUACCCAGUGAUUCCAGCAUAAAAGUUUUAGGGAAUAAACUAAUGAGCGUAGAAAAUAUGUUUUUGGAACUUAAUAUGCAUAAGGUUCCCGUGGAAUUAAAUUUCAGUGACGUAAUAAAGAUAGAUUUUAAAAGGGCCAUCGAAAAAGCACCGUACAAAUCUGAUUUCAGCUGGAAUAAGUGUAGUAUUAAUGAAUUAAUGCCUCACCAUCUGUCAACCGCUGCAUUAAAGCGUCAACCUGUGCACGAAGUAAUACAUAUCGAGGACGACGGUUUCAUUAGCCCAGCUGCCGCAACUGUAACUACUGCUAGCCCUUCCGAUUGGUCGGUUAUUUCUGAAAAUAACAUUCCUAAGAAUAUUCUUGUAAGCAAUCCCGACGUCCGAACCGAUACGAUUCCCACAACGUUUAUUCAACCCACUGUUUUAUUAAACGGAAGUAGUUUUUUACCUAACAACAACAAUAAAAACAGCAGCAACAAUCAAACAAUUACCAUUCCUCUUAUACCGAAAAUUUCUUCCUCUAGUAACAAUCAGAGUAAAUUGAUUAAUCAGUGUAGUAAUACAGUCCAAGUGGUCGUCCCUACAUCUAAUCCACAUAUACAAGCUGUAUCGGUUCCACAUAAUCACGUGCAAGUGUCUACUACAUCCUCUAAUACUAUCCUUCUUAAUCAUAUAAACGCUAUAAGUAGGCCAUCGUCAGGUCAAAAAUUAUUACUUCCUAGACCCUUUUUUACUUCAUCAAACGUUAUACAACAAACUUCGUUAUCUCCGAACAUCACAUGUUCAGAAACGCACAAACCGUCAGUAGGCGCUAUUACUAGUAGUAAUUGUGGAAAAAUUAUUUUGAUUACUCAUAAUCAGAAUAAAACAGUGGACCAGAACGACACGAACGUUGAUAGAAAGGUUGAAAGUUUGCCUGCUGUUGAAACAACAAACUGUACUUCUUCAACUACAACAGAAAAAAUUGCUGUUCAAGGAAGCAGCGGUCCCUCACUUUUAAGAGUGAGAAAUUUGUGGGAGUUAACAGGUCAUAAGUCGUAAAUAAAUGUAGUUUUUAUUUUAUUUAAAAUAGGAAAAAUUGCACUCUUAAAACCUUUUAUGAUCACACUGUUAUAAGAUUACAUUAACGAUUAUAUUGGAAUAGUAGUGUUCGAAGAAAAAAUUGUUAAGUUCUACAUAUUAAUUAAAAUAGAACAUUGGCUUGUAUGUACAUAAAUAUGUGAAUGUAAAGUGAUGUCUCAUUAUUACACUUAAGUUGUUUAUAAAUAUAAAAUAGGCACUAGAGUGGAUACAUUUAAGAAUAAACUGAAAAACAAAUGUGUUAGGUGGUUCUUUCUUCCGUAUUGAUUUAUUAAGUUAAAGUGUAACAGUUAUUAAUAGGCAUCAAUAACAAAAAAAGCAGAGACAGGAAAUAGCGUGUACAGGAAAUCAAUAACAAUCAAUAAUUUUAAUUCAGUUAUAGCUUCUGCUUAAGUUGCCCUGGCACCUUCACCGAAAUUUACAAUAAAUUUUGAAAUGUGUAUUUUCAUGAGCGGCCUAUUUUUCGGCAUUUAAACGAUAGUUUAGAAUAAAAAUUAAUCAAAAACACAUACACAUUUUUAGAAGUUAUAAUUAAAGAUGUGAAAGGAUUCACAACCAAAUUUUAUUAUUAUUAAUUAUUUCAAUUUUGUGGUUCUCGAAUAGUAUUAAGGUUUUCUUUGUAGGUGCAUUAUUAUUAGUGUCGCUGUAUGUUGGGUUGUCUAUAAAUUGUAGCUUAAAUAUAAAAACCACCGUUUUCACAAAUACAUUAACUAAGUAAACUAAAUCUCUCAUUUUUAAAAUUUUUAUUGAGGUGUAAAAUGGUAACCGAUUACUUCUGUCUGCACAGUUAUUGUAUAUGGAUCCAUCAACAACUGUUAUUAGAUUGUGAUAAUCUCAGCCCCUGUAAUAAACGAGAAUUUUAAUUUUCAAAAUUGGCAAAUGGUAAAAGCUCGAAACUGUUAGCGCCUUUACUUUCACUGGUCGAAAUUCAUUUUUGUGAACAAUUUGUUUAAUCAUUUUCCCAGUGUUAGAAAUUGUUUAAAAAAUUUAAUUCAAAGAAAUUUGUUUAUAAAAUAAUAGGCAACACAUCAUACACUGCAGCAUAGGCAAUUGCAUAUCCAAACUACGUAAAAUGUAUAACAAUUUUGAAAAUUAAGUUUCUCUUUCACUAUAGGGACUAAGAUUAUCUUUUAGAGGACGUGGAACGAGCCCCACCCAAGGACAAUAAGGACAGAAGUAACCGGGUCUAAGACUGUCAUAAUCACAUGAGGGACGUAGAAAGAGCCCCACGCAAGGGCAAUAUGGACAUUAGUAGCCGUUUCUCCCUUACCAUAGGGUCUAAAAUUGUACAAAUGACAUGAGGGACAUAGAGAGAGCUCCACACAAGGAAAAUGUGGAUCGAAGCAACUGGGCCUAAGAUUAUCUUUUAGAGGACGUGGAAGGAGCCUCACACAUGGACAAUAAGGGCAGUGGUCACCGGGUCUAAGACUGUCAUAAUCUCAUGAGCGAUGUAGAAAGAGUCCUACGUGAGGAUAAUAUGGGCAGAAAUAAUAUGUGGGCAUUUUGCACCCGUUAUUUUUAAAAUCUUCUUGUUUUUACUUUUAUUUUAAGUAAGCAAUA